rnacentral:rRNA from 1 species
CAAUAGCGUAUAUUAACGUUGUUGCAGUUAAAAAGCUCGUAGUUGGAUUUCUGGAGGGAGCGUCGGCCCGUAUUUACGAGUGCGUGACGUCUCUGUCCAUCCUUGCGGGAAGGCACGGCAUUGAUUUGUUGUGUCGGAUCGCAUCAUUUACUGUGAAAAAAUUAGAGUGUUCAAAGCAGGCUUUCGCUUGAAUACAUUAGCAUGGAAUAAUAAGGUAGGACUUUGGUGCUAUUUUGUUGGUUGAGCCUAAAGUAAUGAUUAAUAGGGAUAGUUGGGGGCACCUGUAUUGCGUUGUCAGAGGUGAAAUUCUUGGAUUUACGCAAGACAAACAGCUGCGAAAGCGUCUGCCAAGGAUGUUUUCAUUA